UACGGAGGGGGUUAGCGUUGUUCGGAAUGACUGGGCGUAAAGCGCGCGUAGGCGGGCUGGAAAGUUGGGGGUGAAAUCCCGGGGCUCAACCCCGGAAUGGCCUUCAAAACUCCCAGCCUAGAGUUCGAGAGAGGUGAGUGGAAUUCCGAGUGUAGAGGUGAAAUUCGUAGAUAUUCGGAGGAACACCAGUGGCGAAGGCGACUAACUGGACAUGUAUUGACGCUGAGGUGCGAAAGCGUGGGGAGCAAACAGG
rnacentral:rRNA from 1 species